CAGUAAUUGAAAUAUUGACAGGUGGUUGCUUUGUGCUGAGCAUCAGGUUUUAAGAUCAGCUGCGCUCCUGUUGGACUCCACCUAGGAUGCUGCUGUCUUUAAUUAGCCAAGCUUCUGAGACAAACUAGACUGUGUGUGAUUUUUGGACAUCAGAGAAGAAAUACACAAUUUUCAAUGAGCUGGUGAAAUAGCAUCCCUUCCUUGGCCAGCAUCCCUUGGAAAAAGACAAUGAUUGGGUUUAAUGAAGAAGAAAAACAUAAGGAAUGGGACAAGGAAUUCGAGUUCACAUAGGUGUCCUUCAGACUGGGAACAGGGCAGGGCCCUGGGACUGCCACCCACUCCCUGCAAGACUGCUGCUGUCCCCAGGGAUGCAGGAGCUUAUGGCAGGGGCAUAAUGAGAAUCUGCAUUGGCCUCUGUGGGACGAAACAUGUGGGAAGAGCGUGAUGAAACUAAUCUGUCCCUUUUUGGGGAAUGGUGCUCCCAUGUGGCAUAUGACUCUUAGGAGAUGACUGAAAAAGGAAAGUCAGAGCCUUCUACAGAAAAGAAACAAUGGUUACCUUCAGCAGCAGCAGCUGUAUCACAAGAUGCUGGAGAAUAGGGUACCUCAUGGACAAAAGGUUUGUAAGCAUGCUGUGAAUGUGUUGAUGAGGAAG